UACGGGGGGAGCAAGCGUUGUUCGGAUUUACUGGGCGUAAAGGGCGCGUAGGCGGCCUGUGCAAGUCAGUUGUGAAAUCUCCGAGCUUAACUCGGAACAGUCAACUGAUACUGCUCGGCUAGAGUGCGGAAGGGGCAACUGGAAUUCUUGGUGUAGCGGUGAAAUGCGUAGAUAUCAAGAGGAACACCUGCGGCGAAGGCGGGUUGCUGGGCCGACACUGACGCUGAUGCGCGAAAGCUAGGGGAGCGAACGGG
rnacentral:rRNA from 1 species